CAGGGUUCUGGAACUCAGAGCUCUGAUGGGGAAGGGCCCUGGAGUUGUCACAUAAGCACCCACUUUCCCCCUCCCUGCAGCCUCUUCUGACCGUGGCGCCGUGAGUCAUUACUUGGAACAGGUCUCGUCUAUAAAAUGAGGAAUGUGACCAUACUGGCUUCAAAGGUCCCUGUAUUUCCCCAGAGCUCCACGCUCCUCCCCUGGAUCUGUUAUGAAUUAUUGACCAGCUCGGCCAAGACGGCUAACCUGAAGACCCCAAAGUCAUGGUUUCUACCCGAAGAAAGCAAAAAACCCUAAUUCAAAGAGAUAUGUGCAUCCCUAUGUUCAGUGCAGCACCACUUAUAAGAGCCAAGUUAUGGAAACAACCUAAGUGCCCAAUGACAGGCUCGUACUGUGUUGCUUAAGAUGUGGUUAAAAAGAGAAAAAUAGCAAAAUGCUCCAAAUCUUCCACUGCCCAUGAAGUCUUCAAGGGACGGGGAGAGUGAGUGCGUGAGGGGGUGUGUUUCCAGCACUCAGCACCUCUAUGUCUAACUCACCUAGGCACACAAAGAUGAUUUCGUCUUUUACCUAAGAAACCCAUUUGCAAGACUGGAAUUGAGAGCAAGCGGGGUCCUGUUUGUCUGGACAGUAAGGACCCGGCUUGCGUAUAUCAGCACCAACCUGUUUACAGCCUCAAGACACACACCUCUCAGGAUGGAGCCUUCCUGAAGCUCACAGAUAAGUUCUCCUAAGAUACGUGGUCAGAUGAGUCACACCCUUGGCUUUUUCGCCCUGUCUUCUUGCCAUCAAGGUGCAGGCCCCAAGGAUAUGCAAGAGGAAAUGAGUAAGUGUGACAGAAGAGGAAGACUGGGCAGGGCGGAAAGGCUUCUUGGAAGACAGUGAUGGGAUAAGCAGGCGGGAAGCAACUGUCCCAAGGAAUGAGGUCACCUCAUGGCUUCUACGGUGUUAUUUCGUAAAAAGAAAUUAAUUUGGAGUAACUAUUACACGCUCUACUAGCCCAUACUAUUUGCACUGAAACAUGAAGGCUUUUCUUCAAAUCUAGAAGGUGGUAAUAAAGCUGCCUCGGUAUAAAGGGGUUUCUUGAACUGUAUUUUGUGAUGCGGCAGCCCGUGACAUCAGCUGUGGAAG